rnacentral:rRNA from 1 species
AGAUGGCGACCGGCGCACGGGUGAGUAACACGUAUCCAACCUGCCGAUAACUCGGGGAUAGCCUUUCGAAAGAAAGAUUAAUACCCGAUGGUACAAUCAGACCGCAUGGUCUUGUUAUUAAAGAAUUUCGGUUAUCGAUGGGGAUGCGUUCCAUUAGGCAGUUGGUGAGGUAACGGCUCACCAAACCUUCGAUGGAUAGGGGUUCUGAGAGGAAGGUCCCCCACAUUGGAACUGAGACACGGUCCAA